CCGGUGAGCUAACAGAGCAGGUGCGGUGGAGGUGAGAGGAACAACAGGGCCUGACACAGGGAGGCUCACAGCCUGGACCUCCCAGAGCAGGUGUGGAGGAGGUGAGAGAAACAGGAGGGCCUGACACAGGGAGGCUCACAGCCUGGACUUCCCAGAGCAGGUGUGGAGGAGGUGAGAGGAACAGGAGGGCCUGACACAGGGAGGCUCACAGCCUGGACCUCCCAGAGCAGGUGUGGAGGAGGUGGGAGAAACAAGAGGGCCUGACACAGGGAGGCUGACAG